AUUGAACGCUGGCGGCAGGCCUAACACAUGCAAGUCGAACGGUAACAGGAAGAAGCUUGCUUCUUUGCUGACGAGUGGCGGACGGGUGAGUAAUGUCUGGGAAACUGCCUGAUGGAGGGGGAUAACUACUGGAAACGGUAGCUAAUACCGCAUAACGUGGCAAGACCAAAGAGGGGGACCUUCGGGCCUCUUGCCAUCGGAGGUGCCCAGAUGGGAUUAGCUAGUUGGUGGAGUAACGGCUCACCAAGGCGACGAUCCCUAGCUGGUCUGGGAGGAUGACCAGCCACACUGGAACUGAGACACGGUCCAGACUCCUACGGGAGGCAGCAGUGGGGAAUAUUGCACAAUGGGCGCAAGCCUGAUGCAGCCAUGCCGCGUGUAUGAAGAAGGCCUUCGGGUUGUAAAGUACUUUCAGCGGGGAGGAAGGGAGUAAAGUUAAUACCUUUGCUCAUUGACGUUACCCGCAGAAGAAGCACCGGCUAACUCCGUGCCAGCCGCCGCCGUAA
rnacentral:rRNA from 1 species